rnacentral:rRNA from 1 species
UACGAAGGGUGCAAGCGGUAAUCGGAAUUACUGGGCGUAAAGGGUGCGUAGGCGGUUGUUUAAGUCUGUCGUGAAAUCCCCGGGCUCAACCUGGGAAUGGCGAUGGAAACUGGGCAGCUAGAGUGUGUCAGAGGAUGGUGGAAUUCCCGGUGUAGCGGUGAAAUGCGUAGAGAUCGGGAGGAACAUCAGUGGCGAAGGCGGCCAUCCGGGACAACACUGACGCUGAGGCGCGAAAGCUAGGGUAGCAAACGGG